rnacentral:rRNA from 1 species
UACGUAGGGCGCAAGCGUUGUCCGGAAUUAUUGGGCGUAAAGAGCUCGUAGGCGGUUUGUCGCGUCUGCUGUGAAAUCCCGAGGCUCAACCUCGGGCUUGCAGUGGGUACGGGCAGACUUGAGUACUGCAGGGGAGACUGGAAUUCCUGGUGUAGCGGUGGAAUGCGCAGAUAUCAGGAGGAACACCGGUGGCGAAGGCGGGUCUCUGGGCAGUAACUGACGCU